UUGUCCCCAAUUUGGAUGGUGGUAGAUGCUCCAAUGGGAAGCCGUUGGCUUGUCUUGGAGACCCUUCUAGCAGAAGAAGAGAAUAUUUAUAGCUUGGGUUUCAACUGUGGGGUCCUUGGUGGGCUCUGAGUUUGGCGGUUUUCUUGGUGACAUUUCAUGACCCAACUAGGUGACAUUAUCAGGGCAAGAAGGAAGUAGGGUUUGCUUUCAGGUUAUGUACAAGUGGAGAGUGUUGGUUUUUGGCGGCGUCCUCUCUCAGAGCUUGGUUGUUUGUUUUUUUGAAGAUGUUUCAUGACCCAACUAGAUCACAUCAUCAGUGCUAAGAGGAAAGGGGCUUUCAGCUUCAGAUUUGUCUUGCUGCUUCCAAGAAGUACUUGAGGGACAAAUCCUGCUUUCUGCAGAGAACAGAAAGAGGAAGCCUUGUUCCUUGACACCCAUUUCAAACUUGGCUCUGCCCAGCAGGCCACCUACAGAUAGCGCAUGGCGUCCAAUGGCUGCUUUGCUGGAGAACAUGUGGCCUGGAAUCUCAUUGCUGUAUUAUGUUUUGGGGGAGUCCCCCCAUCUCAACAUCUGGAUCCAACUAGCAGCAGCCAAUGUGGUUGGGACUGGAAGGGAGGGGCCUGCUUUCCUCCCUCCUUUCAUCCAACAAGCUUUGCAAAGUCACGUUGGCUGCCCAGAGGCAAAGUCCAGGAGUUUCUCAUUAACCAGGAAUGAGAAUGGCUGACCAGAUCCAGCUGCAAAGAUGCCG